GCCAGUGUAGCAUAGUGGUUGAGUGCUGGAGUAUGACUCUGAUGACCAGGGUUCAAUUCCCAGUUUGGCC